rnacentral:rRNA from 1 species
UACGGCCACAUCACGUUGAAAUAUUGGUUCCUGUACGAUCACCGAAAUUAAGCAACGUUGAGCCUGGUCAGUACCUAGAUGGGUGACCGUUUUGGAAUACCAGGCGC